rnacentral:tRNA from 1 species
AAUUUAAAUAGUUUAAUAAAAAUUUUAAUUUGUGGAAUUAAAGAUAAACUUAGUUUUUUAA